UCUCAAUGAGACACAUUUUCCUUUACAGUUUAUUCUCUGAGUCCUCAGUGAAUCCAAGGGAAAGAAUGAUGAGAUCCCUGAGUGUCUUACUAGUGAUUCUGUGGCUUCACAUGAACUGGGUGAACAGCCAACAAAAGGAGGUGGAGCAGCAUCCUGAGUCCCUCAGUGUUCCAGAGGGAGCCACUGCUUCUCUCAACUGCACUUACAAGAACACUGGUUCUCAAUACUUCCUGUGGUACAGACAGUAUUCUGGGAAGGGACCUGAGCUGCUGAUGUCUACAUACUCCAAUGGUGAUAAACACGAGGGAAGAUUCACAGCACAUCUCAACAGAGCCAGCCUUUAUCUUUCCCUGCACAUUAGAGGCUCCCAGCUCAGUGACUCAGCCACCUACCUCUGUGCAGUGAGUGCACAGUGCUCCCCCAACACCUGCAGUCUGCACACAAACCUAUGGGGGCCCCAGUAAGGCCUGAGCUGUAGCACAGGGCAAUUAUUCUGUGCCCUAGAUGUGAUGGUAGCUAAGAGCAAUAGCAGGCAGGAGUUGAUCAUUUUACUAUCUUAUCAUUGUGAAAAUACUUGAGCUGAAGGGAAAUUAAAGACAGAAUACUGUUCUCUGUUGUGGUUAACUUUGACUAUCAGUCUGAGUAGAUUGAUGUCUCAAUUUGUGAUGCACAUUUCUAUGUGUGUGUGAAGCUAUUUCCAUAGGUGAUUAGCACUCUGCACAGUGUGAAAAGCUCCUCUAAAGGUGGGCAGGACAGAUCCAAUAGACUGAAGGCCUGGAUGGAACAAAUGCUUUCAGGCUGUGCCCAGCUUGUAUUGAAGAAUCUAGCCUCAAAUUGUGUGCACACAUGCACACGAUCCUAUAAAGAAACCUGUCUAAAAUUCUACAGUUGACAUGUUUUCCAGUUUUUUCUUUCAAUUCUAAACUAUAUAUGCACAAAAGGUUCACACAAUUA